rnacentral:lncRNA from 1 species
AAUAGUGAUGGUAUCUUACUUACCAGCUUGCAAAAAGGCUGUCACUUCUGUCUUCAGCACCUUUCUCACUCUCUUACUCUUUUGUUUUGAAGAAAGCCAGCUGUCAAGUUGUGAGCUGCCAACAACCAGUUCAUCAGGAAUUGUAGGAUACCUGCCAAAUAUCCAGCAGCACCAGCACCAUGGGAAGUACAAAAGAAGCACUCAGUAAAAUGGGCUCUCGCAUGCCAAUGCGUACAGGGACCUGGCGGGUAUUGGGGAAGAAGAGAGACCAAGAAA